rnacentral:lncRNA from 1 species
ACUCCACUCUUGGUAAUUUCUGACUUUGCCAAAGUUAUCAACUCUGUGUUAAACAUUAGUAAAUAAUUUGUGUCAUCAUCUGCAGACCCUACCACUUGGCACAGUGUCUGGACUCUAUUAACAGCUGAAAAUCUGCCUCUGGAACCGAAGAGUGAUGGAUGGAUAAAUAGCUGAGAAAACUGAGAUCCUCCCAUCUACUCCUCACCUCUAACAGUGGAAAUCAAGCAAUCAGUUUGGACUAAAAAGAACCCAUAUUAAAGCUGACAGCAUGUGAGGAAAUGCAAGAACGUGGAUGUUCUGAGGCUUUGGCCACUGAAAUAGUUGCUAAUUGUCUAAUGAUGUUUGCCCUCAAGAAGUGUUCAUUUAAUCGGGUCCUUCAUCAUUGGUCCAUAAGGGAUGGUUCUCCUGUUUGAAGUCUAUGUCUACAUUCUAUUUUUGAUCAUGAAAAGGAUGUAGAGAUACUGGAACGUAUUAGAAAAAUGUAAAAAAAAAAAAUAUAUAUAUAUCACAAUGACGAGCAUUUUAUUGAGGAAAGAUUGAGAUGACCAAAUCACAUCUCCUGGUGAUAUGUGGAAGGGAAGGAAUCCCCAGACAGAGAUGACUCUCCUCCGAGUCAGUGAGACAUUGAAGAACAAGGCAUUUGGGGGAGCGCAGCAGAGAAGGAGUCAAGAGGCAGCAAGGACAGCAAGAGAAGCCUGUGCUAAGGAGCAGAAUUUUGUCUUGAAAAGCCUCAAUCCAGGACUGCCUAUCUUUGACCUAUGCUGAAAUAGGUCAGAUUCUCCAGUCCUGUCUAGAAUCCAGGGAUGCAUCCCUGACUGCAGCCCACUGGUCCAAGCAACAUCGCCCUCAUGUCCCAGCCUGUUCUCCUGACGGUGCCAGCCCCCAUUACUGAUAACAGUAUGAGGGACCAAUUCCCUGCCUGAACCCCAGAGAUGAAUGUAACCCCUCUACGCACUAACAAUAAGGAGAAAACUAGGAGGGUCAAACAUCCAAAAUACAAACCAGGAAAGGUGCAGAGAAGUGAAAGUGGG